rnacentral:lncRNA from 1 species
AUGGGACCUGUCCAAGGGAUGGUUUCUUACCAUAUCUGGCCUGUCUGGAUCACAGUUACACCUACUGGAUUUGCUGGGGUUCUGACUCUACACUUUGGAGGACCACCUCGAUUGUUUUUGGUUUUGCACUGCAGGUCUGUCCUUUUUAUUUUGAGGAGAGUGGGGAAAAAAAUAGGGACACAUACCAACAGCCUUAGAGUUUGGCAAAGCUGGUGCUGCUGCAGCUGGAGAGGUAUCUGAUCAUACUUGGUUAAUAGUCUAGCAGAGUUUGCUCAAUAUGCCCCAGCUCCUCCCAAAGAUUCAGCCCAUGGCAUGCUGUAGGCCAGGGAACAAUACUUUUGAGGCCUUAAUGUGUAGUAGCAUUACAGCCUGUACUAGGGAUCCUUAAAAGCCAGUCAUCCCUGGGUCAGGUAGGUUUUAAUAGUAACACACAAAUAGCAGAGAGUGGAUGAGCUGAGUCGUCCUGCACGUGAUCUCUUCUCUGCCUUUCCUGCCCUGUUCAGCGUAACUCGAGAAUUUGAUCUGAUCUCCUCUGUGGCCUAUAAAAUCAUAAUAAGAGCUUUAGUGACGCCUCUCUAAUUAAAGUUGAAUUGAAUUUUGUGCUUCAAGCAUGACUUAAACAUUCAUUACUCAUGAAAAAUUAUACCAUAUCCUCUCCAACUUAUGCCAAGCAUUCUUUGAGUACCAAAUGAGAAUUUUGUAAGAUUUUUUUUUUUAUUUCUUGCUUUUGCAGUAGGAAUUAAAAAGGGAUCUGAUAUACAGUCUGUGCACGCAGGGACAAAUUUUAAAACCAGUUUGCCUUAAGCCAUUAAGAAACUAUCUCCAAACCUUCUCUCACUGUACUAUCUGCCCACCUCCUGGAUUUAACUCCAGGCUUAUUGACUGUGGAUGGGAGGACUCCCAGAUACUUCACUAACUUUGAUUGCAUUGUUCUUCUGCCAUCAGCUUUCCUUUGCUGCUGUGGAAAGAACUGCUCUAAUUUCCUAGUUAAAGUCCAAAUUUGAGACUGAAAUUGCUGUGUGAGCUUUAUACUCAUUAGAAGUACCUAAAAGGAGCCUGGAAACCCACGCUGUUUGAUUCAGAGAUGGACAGUGAUACGGUUGGCAGCAGACACAAGUUCCAAAAAUAGCAAUUUCUGUUAGAUAUUAGGAAAACAUGCCUGCCACUUCAAGGAUUGUGGAACACGAGAGUAGGAGCCCACAGACAAUGUGGGAUUGAUAUCCUUGGAGAUAUUCUGAACCUGAAUGGGCAAGGUCUAGCACAAACUCUUCUCAGCUGGCCCUGCUUCAAACAGGAUGUAGGACUGGACAAUUUCAAGAGGUCAUUUGUGACUUAGAAUGGUCUCUGAUACUAAGGUGUACCACUUUUUGGGGUGCAGAGGAUGAGUCUACUGAGACCACAAAUAGUCCUUAAUUGCAAAGUUGUACACGAUUCAGACAUGGUUGACGAGCAUGAGUGCUGGAAGGAUGUGAGGGAAAGAAAAUAGAUAAGCAGUUUUUGACUUGUGUUUGAAAAGCCGACAGUUUAGGGGUGAAAAGUUGAUAAAAAAAAGUAAAUAUAUUGUCUGUGAAUUUCCUUUUGCAGAAGAUGUAGCUACUGGAAGAAUCUUUAUCAAUGAAGAAGGACUGAAACAUUGAUUAGGACUCUUCAGGCUGAGAUAGAGUGAAGAUGCAGCCCAAAUGACCUUGGUAAAGUGCUGUGGGGGAGACUGUUCUUAUGUCCUUUUUUUUCCCCAUGUACAUGCCUGUCCCUGAUGAGUUUGUGAUUUGACUAAGGGGACAGGGAAUAGAGAUGAAAGAGUAGAAGGUGUGCUUUUGGCUGAAAAUAUAAAACCCAUGAAAACUGCUCACCUGUGUUUCUCUGUUCAGAGGAAGUGUGGAAGGAACUUCCCUGGCAGUGCCAAGUGGACUCAGAUGCAGAAGAGGACCAAGAUAUUAAGAAAUACAUGAAUUAAGCAUGGCUGAGAAAAUGCAGGGUGAAUCUGCAAACCUAAAGGAUUCAUUUAUUCCCAUUAUUUCCCUUAAUUUAUUUCAUGCUUACUCUGUGCCUUUCUUGCAUUUGUUCUCUCCUUUAAAAAGAAAAACUUGUAUAGUUUUCUAGUGACCUGGAAGACUUAAUUUUUUUUUCUUUAAAGAAAAUAGUCUGCAGAAUAAUCUUCUCUUCUAGGCAAACAAAUGUCAUCUUCAGAAUAAAACACACAUAGAUGAGGAAAUUCCA